rnacentral:rRNA from 1 species
AUUGAACGCUGGCGGAAUGCUUUACACAUGCAAGUCGAACGGCAGCACGGACUUCGGUCUGGUGGCGAGUGGCGAACGGGUGAGUAAUGUAUCGGAACGUGCCCAGUCGUGGGGGAUAACGUAGUGAAAAUUACGCUAAUACCGCAUACGAUCUAUGGAUGAAAGCGGGGGAUCGCAAGACCUCGCGCGAUUGGAGCGGCCGAUAUCAGAUUAGGUAGUUGGUGGGGUAAAGGCCCACCAAGCCAACGAUCUGUAGCUGGUCUGAGAGGACGACCAGCCACACUGGAACUAAGACACGGGCCAGACUCCUACGGAAGGCAGCAGUGGGGAAUUUUGGACAAUGGGCGAAAGCCUGAUCCAUCCAUUCCGCGUGCAGGAUGAAGGCCCUCGGGUUGUAAACUGCUUUUGUACAGAACGAAAAGGUUUCUACUAAUACUAGGAGCUCAUGACGGUACUGUAAGAAUAAGCACCGGCUAACUACGUGCCAGCAGCCGCGGUAA